AGGCCAGUAGCUCAACUGGUAGAGCGUCGGUCUCCAAAACCGAAGGUUGGGGGUUCGAGUCCCUCCUGGCCUGCCA
rnacentral:tRNA from 1 species